AAUACUUUAGCCAAAAUAAUUCACUUUGUACCGCCAAAACACUUUAGAACCUAGGAAAAAAAUCACUUAUUAGUUAUUACCAACUAAAACCUAAUUUCUCUCAUUUGUUUUCUAUCGUUCUUCAGUUCUUCUCCUCUCCUCCAAUACCUCUUCGCUAUCUUCAGAUUCAGAUUUUUUUUCCUCUUCAAAAUCUUUGCGAUAAUUACACUAAACCCUAGAUUUGAUUUACAAUAUCGUCGCUUUUGGCCAUUUUGUGUUACCUUCGAGGCACCGACGACAAGACGAGACCAGCCACAGAUCUGUGCUUGAGGUAGGAGGUAGAGAUUACUAAGAUCUCUCCAAUUGUCCCAGAUAUGGCGUAGCAUCUUUCAGAACUACAAGACCAAGAGGCAAGAGCCUUUUUCAAGAUAUCUGGAGAUAGAGAUCUAAAAUAAGCAUUUUUGGGUGAGAAGGAAGUAAUUAACGCCCUUUUCUUAAGAAUUCUUCCACAAUCGCCGCCGUUUUUGCAUUGAGAUAUGGAUGAUAGUGAAUAUCAUUUUCAUGAGGUAAAGAACAAAUAAGAGACAAGUAAACUCUUUUAUGAUUCACAACUUUCACUUGGACGAUCAAGUCCUUCUUCUUCUUCCCCCUGCGUCGUGCGUGCUCUCUCGAAUUCACAGAUUUUUAGCAACGAAGCUGAAUCAGUUUAAUACUGGCUGACGUAAGAGGAAUACGAUAUUUCAGAAGACCGGCCAUCAUCCUGUAGACAUGGUACGAUCUGAGCCUCGUUAAGGUUCCAAGAUCAUAUCUAAAGAAAGCGUAGAGAUCCUAGCCUUGUGCAAGAACAUGAUGAUAUACAACUCCAUGUACCUUCUAGAACUUAGAAGUUUGUCUCUAUUUUUUUUUGUGAUGUUAGUUUAUUUUAGUUAAGAUUGUUAUGUAAGACUUUAUGUUAUGUAAAACUUUUUUCUGAGAAUGUAAUAAUAAUUUUAUGUAUGUUGGUGAUUUUA